UCACUAAGUGCCAGACGAUCUCAGGUUGU
rnacentral:piRNA from 1 species